rnacentral:rRNA from 1 species
UCGGGAAUUUUGGGCAAUGGGCGAAAGCCUGACCCAGCAACGCCGCGUGAAGGAUGAAGUAUUUCGGUAUGUAAACUUCGAAAGAAUGGGAAGAAUCAAUGACGGUACCAUUUAUAAGGUCCGGCUAACUACGUGCCAGCAGCCGCGGUAAUACGUAGGGACCAAGCGUUGUUCGGAUUUACUGGGCGUAAAGGGCGCGUAGGCGGCUUUGUAAGUCACUUGUGAAAUCUCCGGGCUUAACUCGGAACGGCCAAGUGAUACUGCAAAGCUAGAGUGCAGAAGGGGCAAUCGGAAUUCUUGGUGUAGCGGUGAAAUGCGUAGAUAUCAAGAGGAACACCUGAGGCGAAGGCGAGUUGCUAGGCUGACACUGACGCUGAGGUACGAAAGCUAGGGGGAGCGAACGGGAUUAGAUACCCCUGUAGUCCCUGAGCGGGCUGGCAAGGCGCAU